GGCCCAUACCAAGAGUGAAAUGGCACUCAGUCAUAAGACAGGAAAUGAUAUCACGUGAAACAUAUCUCUCCCUUGUGGACAUGGCCCUAAAUAUGACAUUCAUGUUUCAGUAGCUUAGUGCUACUACUCUUGGUGGCUUGUUUCUCUUCUCGUCUCCACCAAUAGAGAGGAUGACUCGUCCCUUCUACUGUAAAAGACAUCAUAUUAAGGAUUAAAACAAAUGCAUCUUAACAUGGAGGAUACCUGUAGGCCUUACCUUUAACAUGUGAAAAGAAAGCAGAGUGAGACAAACAAGUAAAAGAUGAGAAAAGGAAGUGGUGUGACCAUGGAGCCUGAAGGUCAAUGAGUGCCACUGGCAAAGGCAGCAGCCACCAGAAGCUGGAAGGUGACAAGGAACUUACCCAGCCCUAGAGCUGAAAGAAAUGGUUUGGCUCUGCCAAGGACACCCUGGGCAAAUAUUUCUUCCCGCUGAAUUAUCAGUGUUUUAACAGUCAGACUGACAAUGCUUAAACA